rnacentral:lncRNA from 1 species
AUGGCAGAAGACUCACAGGAAGUGGCAACGCAGGAUCAGCAAAUACAGCUGCUUUAUAGGCUGAGGAAGAGUGCGAGAUGUUGUGACACAAAGGAGGUGGGAAGACGGAGGUCAGGAAAGGAAGAUCUGGGGGCAACUCCGCUCUUCAGGCUGGGACUGGUUGUGGCCAAACUCCUGCUGCUCCUCCAACCUGCUUUACACAGGCAGAACAGCCCAUGUCUGAGGGCAGCAGACGUGGCUCUGCAGGAGUUUCAGCCAGUCCGUACAUCCCAAGUUACUAGGAAGGGAAUACCUUCACGUAUUUGCUGAUACUCCUGUCCUAUAGCCAUACUUGCAUGGCAUGGUAAGUUAUCCUUGUUCUGUGGAGAUGCACAAAAAGCACGACUGGGCUCUUUAUUCAGGCAGUUUCCUGAUGUAAUUCAGUAGGAACUUUGCACAAGAAGAGAGCAUAAACUCCAUCCUAUGGGACCAGAAGGGCAGUCUUUCCUCCAAUUCUUUCUCCACUUUCCUCCUACCCACUAGCAAUUUACUCUUUGCCCUCUGAUGGCACCGCUGCAUUACUUGGUGCUGGCAGAAACCAGAAAGCUGCUUUUAACUGCAGAAGGGAGGGCUAAACUUGUUUACUUGGGAGUUUAUAGCAUUUUUGAACGCUGCCUCCCAGCUGAAAGUUAAGAUUAAGUGGUGGAAAGCCAGCACGUGGGCUGGUGCUAGAAGCAAGAAACCUCUGCCAGAAUCAGUACUUGAGAUCAAAAGUGUUACUAAGCAGUCAGUGCUGUGGUUUGAUGAGAAAGAUCUCGGUAAAAGCUUGCAAGGUCCCCAGUGUUCAGCUUUGAUAUCACCUGAGACAGGCUGCUAAAUGGUCCUGCUUUGACAAUGGUGACCAAGGCAGCAAAAACACACCAAGACACAGAACGUGCAAGACUUCUCAAACAGCAGCAUAAUUGCUCAGCCUAUUUUCCUAAGUGUUCAGUAUCUGCUUGGAUGACAUAGGACACAGCAGCUUCUGAUCAGUGCUUUCCUCGUUGUUUUACUCCUACCUGCAAAGACUGCAAGACUGGGCUCAUGGUGGUUGGUGAGGCCACGAGUCAGCCAGGUAGGAAGAAUUGGACAGAUUUCCUUGCAGAAAUGUACUGUAUGAAGAUAUCCUAGGGAAACAAGACUUAGCUUCAUAAACCCUGUUCUUUUGGAAGGAGUGGAGGGCUCUAUGUAUUCCAGUGAUGCAAGGGGAGAGAGAUGGGGGAGAACUUCACUUCUGGCCGAAAUUAAGGACAACUCCUGGGUUACAAGUAACAUGUGUCCAUGGUUUUAUAGAACAGCUGGAGCUUGGCUUGGUAUUGAGGAUUAAGGGAUUUAGAUUUUGAAGGUGGUUGUACUGGGAACAGCAAAUAAAUAAUAUACUCAGUUAACA